rnacentral:rRNA from 1 species
AUGUAUUUUGUUGCUAUGUUUGGGUGCAGUAGCAUGUUGUUCUUGUUGCAUUUAGAUGGCUACUUGCUGUUAAUCGCAGACCGGUGUCAUAUUUGUUUUGCUUGCCAUUUCCAAACCGUGCAUCUGAUUCCGGCGAUCUUUAUAUCGAUUUCGACCGAAAUCACCUCACCUUUCCAGUGGCACUCUUGGAUUUCCAAGUUGAGGCCAGGUUCAAUCAUUCCUUUUCAAAUCAUGCAUAAGCAUCACAUAUCGCAUCCCGCAUAUCAUGCCAUGUCCAUGUGUGGUUUGUUUACUAUGUUGUGUGUUUCUUUCCGGUGUUGCUUCUUCGGGUUGGUUCCGAUAACAUCGUGUUUGUGA